CCAAUAGCGUAUAUUAAAGUUGUUGCAGUUAAAAAGCUCGUAGUUGAAUUUCGGGAUCAAUGCGUCGGUCGUGCCUUCGGUACGUACUAGCGUCAUUGAUUCCUCCCUUCUGAAGAACCGUGAUGUCAUUAAUUUGGUGUUACGGGGAAUCAGGACUGUUACCUUGAAAAAAUUAGAGUGUUUAAAGCAGGCUAACGCUUGAAUACAUUAGCAUGGAAUAAUGAAAUAGGACGUUCGAACCUAUUUUGUUGGUUUCUAGGAUCGACGUAAUGAUUAAUAGGGAUAGUUGGGGGCAUUAGU
rnacentral:rRNA from 1 species